AUUGAACGCUGGCGGCAGGCCUAACACAUGCAAGUCGAGCGAGUGGCGGACGGGUGAGUAAUGUCUGGGAAACUGCCCGAUGGAGGGGGAUAACUACUGGAAACGGUAGCUAAUACCGCAUACCAUCGGAUGUGCCCAGAUGGGAUUAGCUAGUAGGUGGGGUAACGGCUCACCUAGGCGACGAUCCCUAGCUGGUCUGAGAGGAUGACCAGCAACACUGGAACGGAGACACGGUCCAGACUCCAACGGGAGGAAGCAGUGGGGAAUAUGGCACAAUGGGCGCAAGCCUGAUGCAGCCAUGCCGCGUGUGUGAAGAAGGCCGUCGGGUUGUAAAGUACUUUCAGCGGGGAGGCGUUACCCGCAGAAGAAGCACCGGCUAACUCCGUGCCAGCCGCCGCGGUAAUUC
rnacentral:rRNA from 1 species